GGUGAAUUAUGGGAGUUGUAGUGAGGGCUGAUAAUAGUGGGUGCAGGUGAAUUAUGGGAGUUGUAGUGAGGGUCUGAUAAUAGUGGGUGCAGGUGAAUUAUGGGAGUUGUAGUGAGGGCUGAUAAUAGUGGGUGCAGGUGAAUUAUGGGAGUUGUAGUGAGGGCUGAUAAUAGUGGGUGCAGGUGAA